rnacentral:lncRNA from 7 species
UAUCCAGUACUGACUUUUGUAGCGUAGCUAUUAGGCUGUCUCGAGCAACGUUACAUAAUUUUAUCUUCUAAAGGAUUCUGAUCUCUAUAUCUUCUCAGUCUCCAGCAACGUCCUCUAAAUUCGGUCCUCUAAAGUUAGUGAUAACAGACUUCCUUUUUUGUGUAAAUAUAAUUUCGGAUUUUUUUUCAAAUUGUAAAUAUUAAUUAUCACUCCAAAUAAUUUUUUGUGUAAUUGUUAUUGGUAAAACGACACAUAGUUUUAAGGAGGCUGAAAAUUCAGUUUGUAGCUACAGUAGCUUGCACCGUAAGCCACGACACUUCUUGUAGAAGCCAUCCGCCUUGUUCAGGAUGCUAAUACGUUACCUUCUUUCAGAAGCAUAUUUGUCCUAUAAAUAAAGCACCCCCUCGUGAAUGAUUCACUCACUCAAGUUGUCCAGCUGUAAUGCCCAAAUAAUUAGAUUUAUAAAAAUAUGUAAGUAUUGGGAAUUAAAAAAGGUUUAUGUCAUUACUUGUUUUGUUUUCUCCCUUUUAUAUAUUCAAAUAAUGGGAUCAAGUAGACUACUAACAAUUAUGUUAAAUGUAUAAAUUAAAUAUGCAUUACAUGCUGAGGUUCUUGUAUGUUUGCAUUUGUAUUUAAUUAGCGAGACAAGCUUGAAAAAUUAAUAUU